GCCUGCCCAGUGAUUACUUUAUUCAACGGCCGCGGUAUCCUAACCGUGCAAAGGUAGCGCAAUCACUUGUUCUUUAAAUGAGGACUAGUAUGAAUGGCGACAUGAGGAUCAACUUGUCUCUCACGAAAAGUCUCUGAAACUGAUCUUCCAGUGCAAAAGCUGGAAUAUACCCACAAGACGAGAAGACCCUGUGGAGCUUCAAACUUCGAGCCACCCAAACCUGGCCUCCUUGUUUUUAGUUGGGGCGACUUUGGAGCAAAACAAAACCUCCAAAUAAACCAAACCCUAGGCCGCCACGCCUAGGCCACCGACCACUGACCCAAUAUAAUUGAUCAAUGAACCAAGUUACCCCAGGGAUAACAGCGCAAUCUUCUUCUAGAGUCCCUAUCGACAAGAAGGUUUACGACCUCGAUGUUGGAUCAGGAUACCCAAAUAGUGCAGCCGCUAUUAAAGGUUCGUUUGUUCAACGAUUAACAAUCCUACGUGAUCUGAGUUCAGACCGG
rnacentral:rRNA from 1 species